GGCUCAGGAUGAACGCUGGCGGCGUGCUUAACACAUGCAAGUCGAACGAUGAAGCCGGAGCUUGCUCUGGUGGAUUAGUGGCGAACGGGUGAGUAACACGUGAGUAACCUGCCCUUGACUCUGGAAUAAGCGUUGGAAACGACGUCUAAUACCGGAUACGAGCUUCCGCCGCAUGGUGAGGAGCUGGAAAGAAUUUCGGUCAAGGAUGGACUCGCGGCCUAUCAGGUAGUUGGUGAGGUAAUGGCUCACCAAGCCUACGACGGGUAGCCGGCCUGAGAGGGUGACCGGCCACACUGGAACUGAGACACGGUCCAGACUCCUACGGGAGGCAGCAGUGGGGAAUAUUGCACAAUGGGCGCAAGCCUGAUGCAGCAACGCCGCGUGAGGGACGACGGCCUUCGGGUUGUAAACCUCUUUUAGUAGGGAAGAAGCGAAAGUGACGGUACCUGCAGAAAAAGCACCGGCUAACUACGUGCCAGCAGCCGCGGUAAUACGUAGGGUGCAAGCGUUAUCCGGAAUUAUUGGGCGUAAAGAGCUCGUAGGCGGUUUGUCGCGUCUGCUGUGAAAACUGGGGGCUCAACCCCCAGCCUGCAGUGGGUACGGGCAGACUAGAGUGCGGUAGGGGAGAUUGGAAUUCCUGGUGUAGCGGUGGAAUGCGCAGAUAUCAGGAGGAACACCGAUGGCGAAGGCAGAUCUCUGGGCCGUAACUGACGCUGAGGAGCGAAAGCAUGGGGAGCGAACAGGAUUAGAUACCCUGGUAGUCCAUGCCGUAAACGUUGGGAACUAGAUGUAGGGGCCAUUCCACGGUUUCUGUGUCGCAGCUAACGCAUUAAGUUCCCCGCCUGGGGAGUACGGCCGCAAGGCUAAAACUCAAAGGAAUUGACGGGGGCCCGCACAAGCGGCGGAGCAUGCGGAUUAAUUCGAUGCAACGCGAAGAACCUUACCAAGACUUGACAUAUACGAGAACGGGCUAGAAAUAGUUCACUCUUUGGACACUCGUAAACAGGUGGUGCAUGGUUGUCGUCAGCUCGUGUCGUGAGAUGUUGGGUUAAGUCCCGCAACGAGCGCAACCCUCGUUCUUUGUUGCCAGCACGUAAUGGUGGGAACUCAAAGGAGACUGCCGGGGUCAACUCGGAGGAAGGUGGGGAUGACGUCAAAUCAUCAUGCCCCUUAUGUCUUGGGCUUCACGCAUGCUACAAUGG
rnacentral:rRNA from 1 species